GCUGAGUCUGUGACUCGCCAUUCGACUCAGGCCUAGUCUGAGUUUGUCCAAACGGUGGUCCGAGUCUCAGCAACCUCUGGAUUUUCAGAGUAGAGAGGAGGUGCAGAGAGGGUGGAAGUAGCUGUUUUUACCUAGUCGCAUGUAACCAAGUCAAGCUUCGAGUCAACUCGCUGGCGUGACUCGCUCUAGCCCUUAAGUCACCACCCAACCUCUGGCUUGGAUCGGUACAGCUCUAGACCUUUAGAGGGAAGAAAGAGAAGAGGGAGAAGAAAUAGAGGUUGGGAGAAAGGAGGGAGAUCAUCUCGAGUUGACACACCAAGUGGGCUAAGUUGUCAACUCGGUAAAAUCAUUCAUUUCCUCAUAUUAGAAUUUACCUCUUUCAAUCAACGAAAUGAUCGUCUUGUUUGAGGUCAUCUCGAAGUGGUGAGGAUAAAGUGGACAUUUAGUGCUCCUUAUUGAUCUCUAAUCAAGCAAGGAAUGAAUCCAUAUCUUAAGGUGAGGAUCACCCUUCAACCUUUUCUACAUCUCGAUAAUUAGUUUGCUCAUUCAACUUUGUUCAUUUACUUUAUCGAUUGCUUAAUGUGGUUCAUUGCUCUUAUUGAUCUUGAUUCCUUAUGAUGAAUGAUAAAUUGGAUUUAAAUUCAAUAUUUGAAUAUGCGGUAAGAUCUAAAUACCUCGAUUCUAAUUUGAAAUGAAUGCUUUAGAUAUACAUAUGCUAUAUCGAUAUUAUAUAUAAUUUAAUUUGUCAUUCAUGAUCUCUUGAUGGAAUGAUUGGAGGUCCUAGAACUAGUGGCCACUUUGUCUAAUAAAUUAAAUGAAACAUUUUAUGUGGACUUAUCAUCUUAUGAAACAUUUGUUGCCUAAGUGACUUUUGGGAUAAUCCCUUUUAUCACAUCCUUGGAAUGAAUUGUUUGUCAUAUGCGGCUAGUUGAAAUAUUUGCCCUAUAUGGCUUUAAGGAA